rnacentral:rRNA from 1 species
UACGUAGGGUGCAAGCGUUAUCCGGAAUUAUUGGGCGUAAAGAGCUCGUAGGCGGUUUGUCGCGUCUGCUGUGAAAACUGGAGGCUCAACCUCCAGCCUGCAGUGGGUACGGGCAAACUAGAGUGCGGUAGGGGGAGAUUGGAAUUCCUGGUGUAGCGGUGGAAUGCGCAGAUAUCAGGAGGAACACCGAUGGCGAAGGCAGAUCUCUGGGCCGUAACUGACGCUGGAGGAGCGAAAGCAUGGGGAGCGAACAGG